AGUGGCGAACGGGUGAGAAACGCGUGAGAAUUUACCUUUUAGUGAGGAAUACCCUCGAGAAAUCGAGGCUAAUACUGCAUACGUCCCUUCGGGGAGAAAGAUGGCCUCUUGCUGUCGCUGAAAGAUAAGCUCGCGUCCUAUUAGCUAGUUGGUGAGGUAAUGGCUCACCAAGGCAAUGAUGGGUAGCCGGCCUGAGAGGGUGUACGGCCACAUUGGGACUGAGAUACGGCCCAGACUCCUACGGGAGGCAGCAGUGGGGAAUAUUGCACAAUGGGCGAAAGCCUGAUGCAGCGACGCCGCGUGGAGGAUGACGGUCUUCGGAUUGUAAACUCCUGUUAAGAGGGAAGAAACGUGCACGAGUAAUAUGCGUGCAUAAUGACGGUACCUCUAUAGAAAGCUCCGGCUAACUUCGUGCCAGCAGCCGCGGUAAUACGAGGGGAGCAAGCGUUAUUCGGAAUCACUGGGCGUAAAGCGCGUGUAGGCGGCCUGCUAAGUCAGCUGUUAAAUACCUCGGCUCAACUGAGGAUCAGCGGUCGAUACUGGCAGGCUAGAGUGCGGAAGAGAGAAGUGGAAUUAUCGGAGUAGCGGUAAAAUGCGUAGAUCUCGAUAGGAACACCGAUCGCGAAGGCAGCUUCUUGGUCCGUGUCUGACGCUAAGACGCGAAAGCGUGGGGAGCAAACAGGAUUAGAUACCCUGGUAG
rnacentral:rRNA from 1 species